UACGGGGGGGGCAAGCGUUGUUCGGAAUUACUGGGCGUAAAGGGCUCGUAGGCGGCCAACUAAGUCGGAUGUGAAAUCCCCAGGCUUAACCUGGGAAUUGCAUCCGAUACUGGAUGGCUUGAAUCCGGGAGAGGGAUGCGGAAUUCCAGGUGUAGCGGUGAAAUGCGUAGAUAUCUGGAGGAACACCGGUGGCGAAGGCGGCAUCCUGGACCGGCAUUGACGCUGAGGGGCGAAAGCCAGGGGAGCAAACGGG
rnacentral:rRNA from 1 species